rnacentral:rRNA from 1 species
UUAAGCGACUAAGCGUACACGGUGGAUGCCCUGGCAGUCAGAGGCGAUGAAGGACGUGCUAAUCUGCGAUAAGCGUCGGUAAGGUGAUAUGAACCGUUAUAACCGGCGAUUUCCGAAUGGGGAAACCCAGUGUGAUUCGUCACACUAUCAUUACGUGAAUACAUAGCGUAAUGAAGCGAACCGGGGGAACUGAAACAUCUAAGUACCCCGAGGAAAAGAAAUCAACCGAGAUUCCCCCGGUAGCGGCGAGCGAACGGGGAGCAGCCCAGAGUCUGAAUCAGCUUGUGUGUUAGUGGAACGGUCUGGAAAGUCCGACGGUACAGGGUGAUAGUCCCGUACACCAAAAUGCACAGGUUGUGAACUCGAAGAGUAGGGCGGGACACGUGGUAUCCUGUCUGAAUAUGGGGGGACCAUCCUCCAAGGCUAAAUACUCCUGACUGACCGAUAGUGAACCAGUACCGUGAGGGAAAGGCGAAAAGAACCCCGGCGAGGGGAGUGAAAAAGAACCUGAAACCGUGUACGUACAAGCAGUGGGAGCCUACUUGUUAGGUGACUGCGUACCUUUUGUAUAAUGGGUCAGCGACUUAUAUUCUGUAGCAAGGUUAACCGUAUAGGGGAGCCGAAGGGAAACCGAGUCUUAACUGGGCGUUAAGUUGCAGGGUAUAGACCCGAAACCCGGUGAUCUAGCCAUGGGCAGGUUGAAGGUUGGGUAACACUAACUGGAGGACCGAACCGACUAAUGUUGAAAAAUUAGCGGAUGACUUGUGGCUGGGGGUGAAAGGCCAAUCAAACCGGGAGAUAGCUGGUUCUCCCCGAAAGCUAUUUAGGUAGCGCCUCGUGAAUUCAUCUUCGGGGGUAGAGCACUGUUUCGGCUAGGGGGUCAUCCCGACUUACCAACCCGAUGCAAACUGCGAAUACCGAAGAAUGUUAUCACGGGAGACACACGGCGGGUGCUAACGUCCGUCGUGAAGAGGGAAACAACCCAGACCGCCAGCUAAGGUCCCAAAGUCAUGGUUAAGUGGGAAACGAUGUGGGAAGGCACAGACAGCCAGGAUGUUGGCUUAGAAGCAGCCAUCAUUUAAAGAAAGCGUAAUAGCUCACUGGUCGAGUCGGCCUGCGCGGAAGAUGUAACGGGGCUAAACCAUGCACCGAAGCUGCGGCAGCGACACUAUGUGUUGUUGGGUAGGGGAGCGUUCUGUAAGCCGUUGAAGGUGUAUCGUGAGGUAUGCUGGAGGUAUCAGAAGUGCGAAUGCUGACAUAAGUAACGAUAAUGCGGGUGAAAAACCCGCACGCCGGAAGACCAAGGGUUCCUGUCCAACGUUAAUCGGGGCAGGGUGAGUCGACCCCUAAGGCGAGGCCGAAAGGCGUAGUCGAUGGGAAACAGGUUAAUAUUCCUGUACUUGGUGUUACUGCGAAGGGGGGACGGAGAAGGCUAUGUUAGCCGGGCGACGGUUGUCCCGGUUUAAGCAUGUAGGCGGAGGUUCCAGGUAAAUCCGGUACCUUUUAACGCUGAGGUGUGAUGACGAGGCACUACGGUGCUGAAGUAACAAAUGCCCUGCUUCCAGGAAAAGCCUCUAAGCAUCAGGUAACACGAAAUCGUACCCCAAACCGACACAGGUGGUCAGGUAGAGAAUACCAAGGCGCUUGAGAGAACUCGGGUGAAGGAACUAGGCAAAAUGGUGCCGUAACUUCGGGAGAAGGCACGCUGAUAUGUAGGUGAAGCGGUUUACCCGUGGAGCUGAAAUCAGUCGAAGAUACCAGCUGGCUGCAACUGUUUAUUAAAAACACAGCACUGUGCAAACACGAAAGUGGACGUAUACGGUGUGACGCCUGCCCGGUGCCGGAAGGUUAAUUGAUGGGGUUAUCCGUAAGGAGAAGCUCUUGAUCGAAGCCCCGGUAAACGGCGGCCGUAACUAUAACGGUCCUAAGGUAGCGAAAUUCCUUGUCGGGUAAGUUCCGACCUGCACGAAUGGCGUAAUGAUGGCCAGGCUGUCUCCACCCGAGACUCAGUGAAAUUGAACUCGCUGUGAAGAUGCAGUGUACCCGCGGCAAGACGGAAAGACCCCGUGAACCUUUACUAUAGCUUGACACUGAACACUGGUCCUUGAUGUGUAGGAUAGGUGGGAGGCUUUGAAGUGUGGACGCCAGUCUGCAUGGAGCCAUCCUUGAAAUACCACCCUUUAAUGGCUGGUGUUCUAACGUGGACCCGUAAUCCGGGUUGCGGACAGUGUCUGGUGGGUAGUUUGACUGGGGCGGUCUCCUCCUAAAGAGUAACGGAGGAGCACGAAGGUUAGCUAAUCCUGGUCGGACAUCAGGAGGUUAGUGCAAAGGCAUAAGCUAGCUUGACUGCGAGAGUGACGGCUCGAGCAGGUGCGAAAGCAGGUCUUAGUGAUCCGGUGGUUCUGAAUGGAAGGGCCAUCGCUCAACGGAUAAAAGGUACUCCGGGGAUAACAGGCUGAUACCGCCCAAGAGUUCAUAUCGACGGCGGUGUUUGGCACCUCGAUGUCGGCUCAUCACAUCCUGGGGCUGAAGUAGGUCCCAAGGGUAUGGCUGUUCGCCAUUUAAAGUGGUACGCGAGCUGGGUUUAGAACGUCGUGAGACAGUUCGGUCCCUAUCUGCCGUGGGCGCUGGAGAAUUGAGGGGGGCUGCUCCUAGUACGAGAGGACCGGAGUGGACGCAUCACUGGUGUUCGGGUUGUCAUGCCAAUGGCAUUGCCCGGUAGCUAAAUGCGGAAGAGAUAAGUGCUGAAAGCAUCUAAGCACGAAACUUGCCCCGAGAUGAGUUCUCCCUGAGACUUUAAGUCUCCUGAAGGAACGUUGAAGACGACGACGUUGAUAGGUCGGGUGUGUAAGUGUAGCGAUACAUUGAGCUAACCGAUACUAAUGAACCGUGAGGCUUAACCUU